rnacentral:rRNA from 1 species
UACGUAGGGGGCAAGCGUUGUCCGGAUUUAUUGGGCGUAAAGCGCGUGUAGGCGGCCAGGUAGGUCCGCUGUGAAAGUCCGAGGCUCAACCUCGGAAUGUCGGCGGAAACCCUCUGGCUAGAGUCCGGAAGAGGAGAGUGGAAUUCCCGGUGUAGCGGUGAAAUGCGCAGAUAUCGGGAAGAACACCCGUGGCGAAGGCGGUUCUCUGGGACGGUACUGACGCUGAGACGCGAAAGCGUGGGGAGCGAACAGG